rnacentral:rRNA from 1 species
UACAGAGGGUGCAAACGUUGUUCGGAUUUACUGGGCGUAAAGGGCGGGUAGGCGGCCACUGCAAGUCGGUUGUGAAAUCUCCGGGCUUAACCCGGAAAGGUCAAUCGAUACUGCAGGGCUAGAGUGCAGAAGGGGCAACUGGAAUUCUCGGUGUAGCGGUGAAAUGCGUAGAUAUCGAGAGGAACACCUGCGGCGAAGGCGGGUUGCUGGGCUGACACUGACGCUGAACUGCGAAAGCUAGGGGAGCGAACGGG